CCUACGGGAGGCAGCAGUGGGGAAUAUUGCACAAUGGGGGAAACCCUGAUGCAGCGACGCCGCGUGAGCGAUGAAGUCUUUCGGUAUGUAAAGCUCUAUCAGCAGGGAAGAAAAUGACGGUACCUGACUAAGAAGCCCCGGCUAACUACGUGCCAGCAGCCGCGGUAAUACGUAGGGGGCAAGCGUUAUCCGGAUUUACUGGGCGUAAAGGGAGCGUAGACGGUCCUGCAAGCCAGAUGUGAAAGGCCGAGGCUCAACCCCGGGAAAGCAUUUGGAACUGUAAGGCUAGAGUGUAGGAGAGGCAGGCGGAAUUCCUAGUGUAGCGGUGAAAUGCGUAGAUAUUAGGAGGAACACCAGUGGCGAAGGCGGCCUGCUGGACGAUGACUGACGUUGAGGCUCGAAAGCGUGGGGAGCAAACAGGAUUAGAUACCCGAGUAGUC
rnacentral:rRNA from 1 species